rnacentral:rRNA from 1 species
GGACGACGCUCGGCGGCGUGCUAACACACUGCAAGUCGAGCGAGUGGAGGUCUUCGGACAAAGCGUAGCGGCGGACGGGUGAGUAACACGUGGGCAACCUGCUCAUAGAGGGAAUAGCUCCGAAGGAGAUAUACGCAUAAGAUUGCAGCUUCGCAUGAAGUAGCAAUUAAAGGAGCAAUCCGCUAUGAGAUGGGCCCGCGGCGCAUUAGCUAGUUGGUGAGGUAAUGGCUCACCAAGGCGACGAUGCGUAGCCGACCUGAGAGGGUGAUCGGCCACAUUGGGACUGAGACACGGCCCAGACUCCUACGGGAGGGCAGCAGUGGGGAAUAUUGCACAAUGGGGGAAACCCUGAUGCAGCAACGCCGCGUGAGUGAUGACGGCCUUCGAGUUGUAAAGCUCUGUCUUCAGGGACGAUAAUGACGGUACCUGAGGAGGAAGCCACGGCUAACUACGUG